rnacentral:rRNA from 1 species
AACAAACGCUGGCGGCGUGCCUAAUACAUGCAAGUCGAACGGGGAAAGCUUUCGGGUGAGUACUAGUGGCGCACGGGUGAGUAACGCGUGGAUAAUCUGCCUUAGAGUGGGGGAUAACUAGUCGAAAGAUUAGCUAAUACCGCAUAAGACCACAAGAACUGCGGUUCAAGGGGUCAAAGGUUUUUCGCUCUAAGAUGAGUCCGCGUAAGAUUAGCUAGUUGGUAGGGUAACGGCCUACCAAGGCGACGAUCUUUAACUGGUCUGAGAGGAUGAUCAGUCAAACUGGAACUGAGACACGGUCCAGACUCCUACGGGAGGCAGCAGUAGGGAAUAUUGCACAAUGGAGGAAACUCUGAUGCAGCGACGCCGCGUGAGUGAUGAAGGCCUUCGGGUCGUAAAGCCCUGUCGCAGGGGAAUAACACAAUGAAGGUACCCUGUAAGAAAGGAUCGGCUAACUUCGUGCCAGCCGCCGCCGUAAGAC